rnacentral:rRNA from 1 species
UACGAGGGGGGCAAGCGUUGUUCGGAAUUAUUGGGCGUAAAGGGUGCGUAGGCGGUCUGAUAAGUCAUCUGUGAAAUCUAUGGGCUCAACCCAUAGUCUGCAGGCGAAACUGUCGGGCUUGAGUAUGGGAGAGGUGAGUGGAAUCUCCGGUGUAGCGGUGAAAUGCGUAGAUAUCGGAAGGAACACCUGUGGCGAAAGCGGCUCACUGGACCAUUACUGACGCUGAUGCACGAAAGCUAGGGGAGCAAACAGG